rnacentral:rRNA from 1 species
ACGGGGUGCAGCAGGCGCGAAAACUUCGCACUGUGCGAAAGCACGACGAGGGAAUCCCAAGUGUAUGCACUUUUUGUGUAUACUGUUUCUCUGUCUAAAAAGCAGAGAGAGUAAGAGCCGGGUAAGACGGGUGCCAGCCGCCGCGGUAAUACCUGCAGCUCGAGUGGUGAUCGUUAUUAUUGGGCCUAAAACGUCCGUAGCCGGUCUUGUAAAUGCCUGGGUAAAUCGUAUGGCUUAACCAUACGAAUUCUGGGUAGACUGUUAGACUUGAGACCGGGAGAAGCUAGAGGUACUCCUGGGGUGGAGGUGAAAUUCUGUAAUCCUAGGGGGACGACCAGUGGCGAAGGCGUCUGGCUAGAACGGGUCUGACGGUGAGGGACGAAGCCCUGGGGCGCAAACGGGAUUAGAUACCCCGGUAGUCCUGGCAGUAAACGCUGAGUACUAAACAUUGUGCACUCUUAGUGAGUGUGCAGUGCUGUAGGGAAGCCGAAGAGUACUCUACCUGGGAAGUAUAGUCGCAAGACCGAAACUUAAAGGAAUUGGCGGGGGAGCAC